rnacentral:misc_RNA from 1 species
GAUGAAGAACGUAGCGAAAUGCGAUAAGUAAUGUGAAUUGCAGAAUUCAGUGAAUCAUCGAAUCUUUGAACGCACAUUGCGCCCGCUAGUAUUCUGGCGGGCAUGCCUGUUCGAGCGUCAUUUCAACCAUCAAGCCCCUUAGCUUGUGUUGGGGACCUGCGGCUGCCGCAGGCCCUGAAAACCAGUGGCGGGCUCGCUGUCACACCGGGCGUAGUAGAUUUUAUCUCGCUCAGGGCGUGCUGCGGGUUCCGGCCGUUAAAAAGCCUUUUUUACCCAAGGUUGACCUCGGAUCAGGUAGGAAGACCCGCUGAACUUAAGCAUAUCAAUAAGCGGAGGA